rnacentral:rRNA from 1 species
UACGUAGGGGGCAAGCGUUGUCCGGAAUCAUUGGGCGUAAAGCGCGUGUAGGCGGCUUGGUAAGUCUGCUCUGAAAGCCCGGAGCUCAACCCUGGGAGGCGGGUGGAUACUGCUGAGCUCGAGUCCGGAAGAGGCGAGUGGAAUUCCUGGUGUAGCGGUGAAAUGCGCAGAUAUCAGGAGGAACACCAAUGGCGAAGGCAGCUCGCUGGGACGGUACUGACGCUGAGACGCGAAAGCGUGGGGAGCAAACAGG